rnacentral:rRNA from 1 species
GACGAACGCUGGCGGCGUGCUUAACACAUGCAAGUCGAACGAAGUGGCGAACGGGUGAGUAACGCGUAAUCAACCUGCCCUUCAGUGGGGGACAACAGUUGGAAACGACUGCUAAUACCGCUUACUGUAGGAGGGGAUUGCCUCGGAUUGGCGCGUUGGAGGGGUAACGGCCCACCAAGGCGAUGAUCAGUAGCCGGUCUGAGAGGAUGCACGGCCACAUUGGGACUGAGACACGGCCCAGACUCCUACGGGAGGCAGCAGUGGGGAAUCUUCCGCAAUGGACGAAAGUCUGACGGAGCAACGCCGCGUGAGUGAUGACGGCCUUCGGGUUGUAAAGCUCUGUUAAUCGGGACGCGGUACCGGAAUAGAAAGCCACGGCUAACUACGUGCCAGCAGCCGCGGUAAUAG